rnacentral:rRNA from 1 species
GUCAAGCUACAAGGGCUUCACGGGGAAUACCUUGUCACACAAAGGCGAUGAAAGAACGGUGGUUACCUGCGGAUAAGUCCUCGGGAGCUGAAACACGCACUGGAUCGGAAUUU